ACGAAGGGUGCAAGCGUUACUCGGAAUUACUGGGCGUAAAGCGUGCGUAGGUGGUUCGUUAAGUCUGAUGUGAAAGCCCUGGGCUCAACCUGGGAAUGGCAUUGGAAACUGGCGACCUAGAGCGCGGUAGAGGGGGGUGGAAUUCCCGGUGUAGCGGUGAAAUGCGUAGAUAUCGGGAGGGACACCUGUGGCGAAGGCGGCCCCCUGGUCGGAUACUGACGCUGAGACGCGAAAGCGUGGGGAGCAAACAGGA
rnacentral:rRNA from 1 species